GAUGAACGCUGGCGGCGUGCCUAAUACAUGCAAGUCGAGCGAACAGAUAAGGAGCUUGCUCCUUUGACGUUAGCGGCGGACGGGUGAGUAACACGUGGGUAACCUACCUAUAAGACUGGAAUAACUCCGGGAAACCGGGGCUAAUGCAGGAUAACAUGUUGAACCGCAUGGUUCUACAGUGAAAGGCGGCUUUGCUGUCACUUAUAGAUGGACCCGCGCCGUAUUAGCUAGUUGGUGAGGUAACGGCUCACCAAGGCAACGAUACGUAGCCGACCUGAGAGGGUGAUCGGCCACACUGGAACUGAGACACGGUCCAGACUCCUACGGGAGGCAGCAGUAGGGAAUCUUACGCAAUGGGCGAAAGCCUGACGGAGCAACGCCGCGUGAGUGAUGAAGGUCUUCGGAUCGUAAAACUCUGUUAUUAGGGAAGAACAAAUGCGUAAGUAACUGUGCGCGUCUUGACGGUACCUAAUCAGAAAGCCACGGCUAACUACGUG
rnacentral:rRNA from 1 species